rnacentral:rRNA from 1 species
CAUGAAGCUGGAAUUGCUAGUAAUGGCAGGUCAGCAUACUGCCGUGAAUACGUUCCCGGGCCUUGUACACACCGCCCGUCACACCAUGAGAGUUGGAAAUACCCGAAGCCUGUGAGCUAACAGUAAUGAGGCAGCAGUCGAAGGUAGAGCCAAUGAUUGGGGUGAAGUCGUAACAAGGUAGC